rnacentral:rRNA from 1 species
UGGGGAAUCUUGGACAAUGGGGGCAACCCUGAUCCAGCCAUGCCGCGUGAGUGAUGAAGGCCUUCGGGUUGUAAAACUCUUUCGACGGGGACGAUAAUGACGGUACCCGUAGAAGAAGCUCCGGCUAACUUCGUGCCAGCAGCCGCGGUAAUACGAAGGGGGCUAGCGUUGUUCGGAAUUACUGGGCGUAAAGCGCGCGCAGGCGGCCUUUCAAGUCAGGGGUGAAAGCCCGAAGCUCAACUCCGGAAUUGCCUUUGAAACUGUAAGGCUUGAGUACGGGAGAGGUGAGUGGAAUUCCCAGUGUAGAGGUGAAAUUCGUAGAUAUUGGGAAGAACACCGGUGGCGAAGGCGGCUCACUGGCCCGUUACUGACGCUCAGGCGCGACAGCGUGGGGAUCAAACAGGAUUAGAUACCCUGGUAGUCCACGCCGUAAACGAUGGACGCUAGCCGUUGGCAAGCUUGCUUGUCAGUGGCGCAGCUAACGCAUUAAGCGUCCCGCCUGGGGAGUACGGCCGCAAGGUUG